ACCUUCGUAGUGUAAUAAUCAGCACACUCGGCGCGUAUUCGAGAGGUCCGAGGUUCGAGUCCCGGCGAGGGCA
rfam:Stegodyphus mimosarum contig55378, whole genome shotgun sequence.